GAAAUAUUAAAAAGUAAGCUUCUAACUUAACUUAAAAGCAUUGAGUGUUUAUAUUUCU
rnacentral:tRNA from 1 species